GAUGAACGCUGGCGGCGUGCCUAAUACAUGCCAGUCGAGCGAACAGACGAGGAGCUUGCUCCUCUGACGUUAGCGGCGGACGGGUGAGUAACACGUGGAUAACCUACCUAUAAGACUGGGAUAACUUCGGGAAACCGGAGCUAAUACCGGAUAAUAUAUUGAACCGCAUGGUCCAAUAGUGAAAGACGGUUUUGCUGUCACUUAUAGAUGGAUCCGCGCCGCAUUAGCUAGUUGGUAAGGUAACGGCUUACCAAGGCAACGAUGCGUAGCCGACCUGAGAGGGUGAUCGGCCACACUGGAACUGAGACACGGUCCAGACUCCUACGGGAGGCAGCAGUAGGGAAUCUUCCGCAAUGGGCGAAAGCCUGACGGAGCAACGCCGCGUGAGUGAUGAAGGUCUUCGGAUCGUAAAACUCUGUUAUUAGGGAAGAACAAAUGUGUAAGUAACUAUGCACGUCUUGACGGUACCUAAUCAGAAAGCCACGGCUAACUACGUG
rnacentral:rRNA from 1 species